rnacentral:rRNA from 1 species
GUAGGUGGCGAGCGUUGUCCGGAAUUAUUGGGCGUAAAGCGCGCGCAGGCGGAUCUUUAAGUCUGAUGUGAAAGCCCACGGCUCAACCGUGGAGGGUCAUUGGAAACUGGAGAACUUGAGUACAGAAGAGGAAAGCGGAAUUCCACGUGUAGCGGUGAAAUGCGUAGAGAUGUGGAGGAACACCAGUGGCGAAGGCGGCUUUCUGGUCUGUAACUGACGCUGAGGCGCGAAAGCGUGGGGGAGCAAACAGGAUUAGAUACCCUGGUAGUCCACGCCGUAAACGAUGAGUGCUAAGUGUUAGGGGGUUUCCGCCCCUUAGUGCUGCAGCUAACGCAUUAAGCACUCCGCCUGGGAGUACGGCCGCAAGGCUG